rnacentral:rRNA from 1 species
UACGGAGGGUGCAAGCGUUAUCCGGAUUCACUGGGCUUAAAGGGUGCGUAGGUGGCGCUGUAAGUCGGGUGUGAAAUUUCGGAGCUUAACUCCGAAACUGCAUUCGAUACUGCGGUGCUCGAGGACUGGAGAGGAGACUGGAAUUCAUGGUGUAGCAGUGAAAUGCGUAGAGAUCAUGAGGAAGACCAGUGGCGAAGGCGGGUCUCUGGACAGUUCCUGACACUGAGGCACGAAGGCCAGGGGAGCAAACGGG